rnacentral:rRNA from 1 species
UACGUAGGGUGCAAGCGUUGUCCGGAAUUAUUGGGCGUAAAGAGCUCGUAGGCGGUCUGUCGCGUCUGCUGUGAAAACUCGGGGCUUAACCCCGGGCCUACAGUGGGUACGGGCAGACUAGAGUGCGGUAGGGGAGACUGGAAUUCCUGGUGUAGCGGUGAAAUGCGCAGAUAUCAGGAGGAACACCGGUGGCGAAGGCGGGUCUCUGGGCCGUAACUGACGCUGAGGAGCGAAAGCGUGGGGAGCGAACAGG